rnacentral:tRNA from 1 species
UGUAGCUCAGUGGUAGAGCACAUGCCUAGCAUGCAUGAGGCCCUGGGUUCAAUUCUCAUUA